rnacentral:rRNA from 1 species
AGAGAUGUGUGAUGACGCAUAUCAAUAAGCGGAGGAAAAGAAACUAACAAGGAUUCCCUUAGUAACGGCGAGUGAAGCGGGAAGAGCUCAAAUUUGAAAUCUUCAAGGUUCUACCUUGACGAAUUGUAGUUUAUAGAAGUGUUUUCUGUUAGUGGAGUGGUAAAAGUUCUUUGGAAUAGGACAUCAUAGAGGGUGAGAAUCCCGUAUUUGGUCAUUCCUUCCUAGCGUUGUGAUACACUUUCAACGAGUCGGAUUGUUUGGGAAUGCAGUCCAAAAUGGGUGGUAAAUUUCAUCUAAAGCUAAAUAUUGGCGAGAGACCGAUAGCGAACAAGUACCGUGAGGGAAAGAUGAAAAGAACUUUGAAAAGAGAGUUAAACAGUACGUGAAAUUGUCAAAAGGGAAGCGUUUGACACCAGUGUUGUUUUUCCGAAAAUCAAUUACGAAUGUUUUGUUUUUAAGAGAGUUAUGACUUCAUCGGCUUGCUUCUCUCUUUACUGAAACUUUCUUAAUGCACUUUUCGGUUAACAAGUCAACAUCAAUUUCUUUUGUUGUAAAAGGGUAUGAGGAAGGUGGCUUUCUUUUCGGAGAAAGUGUUUAUAGCCUUGUAGCCUCUGCAAUCGGAGAGAUUGAGGUCUGCAGCGUAGAUCCUUCGGGGUUAGAUACAUUUGUGCUAAGUUAUAGCUUUUCAUAGACAACUUGUUGACUAUGUUAGUCUUGUAGCUUACUCGCUUAUGCUAUUUUACCUACGCUUAGGAUGUUGAUCUGUAGUGCGUGCGC